rnacentral:rRNA from 1 species
AUUGAACGCUGGCGGCAGGCUUAACACAUGCAAGUCGAGCGAGAGGCGGACGGGUGUGCAAUACCUGGGAACCUGCCUGAUGGAGGGGGAUAACUACCGGAAAAGGUAGCUAAUACUGCAUACCACCAGAUGUGCCCAGAUGGGAUUCGCUAGUGGGUGGGGUAAUGGCUCGCCUAGGCGACGCUCCAUAGCUGGUCUGUGAGGGUGACCGGACACACUGGUACGGAGACACGGUCCAGACUACUACGGAAGGGAGCAGUGGGGAAUAUGUGUCAAUGGGCGCAAGCCUGAUGCAGCCAUGCCGCGUGUGUGAAGAAGGCCUUCGGGUUGUAAAGCACUUUCAGCGAGGAAGCGUUACUUGCAGAAGAAGCACCGGCUAACUCCGUGCCAGCAGCCGCGGUAAUAC